rnacentral:lncRNA from 7 species
CAUACUCUCAUUCCCACUGCUGAUGCCCCAGUCCCAUUUUCCCAGUCCGCAUUCCACCACUGGGAGGUCCCCCAAUCCCAUUUCUGAUCCCAUUUCUUUUCCCACUGAUCUCAUUCCCAAUCCCAUUCGCAGCUCCCAUCCCAUUCCACCACUGAUACCCAUCCGCAUUUCUGUCCCUUUCCUUUCCUACUGAUGUGGCAUGUCCCAGUUCCCAUUUCCCUUAUUCCUGGACUUUGAUCGCAGAGUGCUUCCCAUUCCCAGUCCCUUCCACUCCAUUCCGACCCCUGAUCCCAAUCCCAUUCCCAGUCCCAUUCCCAUCCCAUUCCGACCCCUGAUCCCAAUCCCAUUUCUGAUCUCCCUUCUUUUCCCACCAACCCCAUUCCCACCCCAUUCCCACCCCGUUCCCUGCCCAUGCCCAGGACUGGCAGGUUCACUACCAGCAGGACGGUCCGGUUGCGCCCCGCUUUGACGUCAACGCCCCCGACCUCUACAUCCCAGCGAUGGCAUUCAUCACAUACCUGCUGGUGGCCGGGCUGGCGCUGGGCACCCAGAACAGGUUCUCAUCCCGACAGCCUGGGCCUGCAGGCGAGCUUCAGACCGGCCUGGCUGCUGCUGGAGGUGCUGGCGGUGCUGCUGCGGCAGGGCCUCUACCCGCUGUUCUCAGUUGCGUUCCUCCACCGACCUCGGGAGCCAACCGCCCGACCUUG